rnacentral:rRNA from 1 species
AUUGAACGCUGGCGGCAUGCCUUACACAUGCAAGUCGAACGGCAGCACGGACUUCGGUCUGGUGGCGAGUGGCGAACGGGUGAGUAAUGUAUCGGAACGUACCAUUGAGUGGGGGAUAACGUAGCGAAAGUUACGCUAAUACCGCAUAUACCCCGAGGGGGAAAGCAGGGGAUCUUAGGACCUUGUGCUCUUUGAGCGGCCGAUAUCAGAUUAGCUAGUUGGUGAGGUAAAGGCUCACCAAGGCGACGAUCUGUAGCGGGUCGGAGAGGAUGAUCCGCCACACUGGGACUGAGACACGGCCCAGACUCCUACGGGAGGCAGCAGUGGGGAAUUUUGGACAAUGGGGGCAACCCUGAUCCAGCCAUGCCGCGUGAGUGAAGAAGGCCUUCGGGUUGUAAAGCUCUUUCAGCCGGGAAGAAAUCGUGGUGGCUAAUAUCCAUCAUGGAUGACGGUACCGGAAUAAGAAGCACCGGCUAACUACGUGCCAGCCGCCGCCGUAAUAC